UACGGAGGAUGCGAGCGUUAUCCGGACUUAUUGGGUUUAAAGGGUGCGUAGGCGGGAUGCCAAGUCAGCGGUAAAAAUGCGGUGCUCAACGCCGUCGAGCCGUUGAAGCUGGCGUUCUUGAGUGGGCGAGAAGUAUGCGGAAUGCGUGGUGUAGCGGUGAAAUGCAUAGAUAUCACGCAGAACUCCGAUUGCGAAGGCAGCAUACCGGCGCCCUACUGACGCUGAGGCACGAAAGCGUGGGUAUCGAACAGG
rnacentral:rRNA from 1 species